GUCUACAGCCAUACCACCCUGAAUGCGCUCAAUCUCGUCUGAUCUCGGAAGCUAAGCAGGGUCGGGCCUGGUUAGUACU
rnacentral:rRNA from 1 species